UGAAGGAGGCUCCCACGUGAUGCGAAGCAGCACGUUAUAAUGGGGGCCGACGACAUGCCGCCGACGCCAGAGGCGGAGGGGGCGAUACCUUGA
rnacentral:sRNA from 1 species